rfam:Gossypium arboreum cultivar AKA8401 contig_18844_1, whole genome shotgun sequence.
AACCCAUGGUGAGGGCAUCUUCGUAAAAAGUUCUUAUAUCCCUCCCAGGCAUCGUAGAGUGCUUCUAAAUCCAUCUGCACAAAAGAAGAGAUAUCAUUACGAAAUUU